rnacentral:lncRNA from 1 species
AAGGGCAGGAGAUAAAUAUGAGGCAACAUAAAAGGGCCUUGAUCUCCAGUUUGUAAAGAUGACGUGAUCUGUGGUGUGAAAGAAAAGAAAUACUUUGCAUUUUUUGAAAUGGCCAUGAGGAGAGGACCAGGCUACAUCUCAGAAAUCAAUAUCACAUUUUAUGCCUGCUGCACCCUUCACGAAGAAUCAAGACAACAUUGAUUCAAGACACCAGAAGAUCUAACUAAGUCAGAAUGUCUCAGUUACAGUCCAGAUUUCUAUUUAUUACCUACCUCACCGAGAAAGACAAGCCUUGUGCAGGCAUUUGUCACAAGCCAAAUUUGGAGCAAAUUCUCUGCAGAAGAAACGAGGAAUGAAGAGUGGGCAAGACUGUGUUGGUGUUUCUGUUCAUCUUGAAGGAGGGAACCU